UCAAUAGGUCCCGAGGUGAGACAGACACACGGUGACUGUUUAUAUACGAGCGGAGAGAACGGAGGACGGAGAUGGAAAUGGAGGAAAAAGAGAAGGAGCGAGCAGAAAUUAACGGCGAAGACGCUGGCACCCGUAGCGCCUCGGCUUAACUCUGGGAAACAGUCUGUUUAUACUGGAAACAGCCAGGCUUUUCACCCCCCCUUCGUCCUCCAGCGGCCGUUCAGAGCAGCGAUCAACACUUUCAGCUUCAGACAACCCGUCAUGCAAACUAUGCCUACGUGAAGCAUAACCUACCCUGAAGGCUUGUCACCUAAAGAAGAAGCAUAACAAAUUGACAGCAGCGAGAUGAGAAACAAGCAGCUUGACCCAGGGCAAGCAGCCUGAGCCUCUGAUGUAUCUACUAUUAAUUAUACAGGCACUUGCACGCGACAGCCACCUGACACGUCAAAAAUUACUUCUACAUGUCCACAAGAUGUCAUUAAUUACACCAGCACAAGGGGGGAUGUUGUUGAACUAGUGCUAAUGACGACAGAGUAAUUUAAGAAAUCGGCACCGCCUGCAUUACUGAAACGAUGUCAUUACCUCAUCAAGCGUCGCCUUUAGUUUUAGACGUCUGCUGGCUACUCUUUAAUCCCAGAGGCACAUGCAAAGUAUUAAGUUAUACAUGUGUGAGAGUCUGCUUGGAACAAUUUGGGCAAAAUUAAACGUUGUGCAUGUCGCCCUGGUUGAGGCGGCCUACCAGCGGCCUGAAGUUGGGGCGUGCGUUUCAUGUCAGACACAUAAUUUAAAGACUCGGCUCAAGCUGGAGAGGGUACUCCUGAUACAAAAAUGCUACUGCAGUCCA